CACCCCGUUGUGCUCAUGGGACAGUCUGGAAUGCAGGGGACUGUUUCCUGGCACCUGGCACUUCCCAGGAAGGUCUUUGAGUCAAUGCUUAGCUCUGACUUCUGGAACCAAGUUGAUGGUACUUGGCAUGAAUUUUCCAGUCCUUAAUCUGGGACUAAGUUUGAUGGACCUUUUCCCAUUCCUCCUUGUACUGGCUGACUUUGUGUGUCAACCUGACACAACCUGGAGUUAUCACAGAGAAAGGAGCCUCAGUUGAGGAAAUGCCUCCAUGAGACCCAACUCUCCUGCGUCCUGCCCUGUGUGAGUUCCAGUUCUGACUUCCUUUGGUGAUGAACAGCAAUGUGGAAGUGUAAGCUGAAUAAACCCUUUCCUCCCCGA